AAAAGAGGGCGGAGCCUGUGCCGCCUGGAGUGUCCUGCCCCCGCCCGUCCACACACACACUUCUCUGCAGUAUCGCAGGCUAAUGGUGGGGGGAGGACGCUCCAGCCCGACCUGUCAGGUGUCAGCCGCCAGUCACCAGGAGAUGCCAGCCUGAAGCCUUGGCUCCUCACACUCCCCUGCGCUUUGUCUCAUUCACUGACUGGCAGCCGGGCACAGCAGCGUGACUCUCUUCCAUUCCGCUGCCCGGAAUCACUGGCGGAGCUCCGGGCAGCAGCUCAUGAUGUGCCUGGAGAGUGAUGGAGCGGGCACGGGGGGCAGCAGCCAGGACUGCAUCCCGGGAGCGGAGGACGGCGGGGUGGAGACCCUCUCGGGCAGGAUGAACCAGGAGAUUAAAUCCCCGGGGAUGGAGAGCCCCAGCAGUAAGGACAGCCUGUCCGAGAAGCCCCUCAACAUGAGGCGUGCCAGGGUGGCAGCAGCUGGUAUCCUCAGCGUGGGCAACGUGCUCAACUACCUGGACAGGUACACUGUGGCAGGGGUUCUACUGGACAUUCAGCAACACUUUGGAGUCAAGGACAGUGGUGCAGGUUUACUACAAACCGUUUUCAUCUGUAGCUUCAUGGUGGCAGCUCCCAUAUUUGGUUACUUAGGAGACCGCUUCAACAGAAAAGUGAUCCUGAGCUGUGGGAUAUUCUUCUGGUCGGCAAUCACCUUCUCAAGUUCCUUCAUCUCCAAGCAGUAUUUCUGGCUGCUUGUACUCUCCAGAGGGCUUGUGGGCAUUGGGGAGGCCAGUUAUUCAACCAUCGCUCCCACCAUCAUUGGAGAUCUGUUUACCAAGAACACCCGCACCCUUAUGCUGUCAGUCUUCUACUUUGCUAUCCCUCUUGGAAGUGGCUUAGGAUACAUCACCGGCUCGAGUGUCAAGCAAGUAGCAGGGGACUGGCGCUGGGCAUUGCGGGUCUCACCAGUGCUUGGUAUGAUAACUGGCACUCUAAUACUGAUAUUUGUACCAGCGGCAAAAAGAGGACAUACAGAACAGCUAAAGGGACGGAGUUCUUGGUUCCGAGACAUGAAAGCACUGGUCAGGAAUCGCAGUUAUGUCUUCUCUUCGCUGGCAACAUCAACUGUGUCAUUUGCAACUGGGGCUCUCGGUAUGUGGAUUCCUCUAUAUCUGUAUAGAGCCCAAGUUGUACAGAAAACAGUGGAGCCGUGUAAUUCUGGACCCUGCAGUGACAAAGACAGUUUGAUUUUUGGGGCUAUCACCUGCAUCACCGGCUUUCUUGGAGUGAUAACAGGGGCGGGAGCUACUAAAUGGUGCCGCUUGAAAACUCAACGUGCUGACCCACUUGUCUGUGCUGUGGGCAUGCUGGGAUCCGCGAUCUUCAUUUGCUUGGUCUUCGUUGCUGCAAAGAGCAGCAUCAUAGCUGCAUAUAUUUGUAUAUUUGCUGGGGAGACCCUCCUGUUUUCUAACUGGGCCAUCACUGCUGAUAUGUUAAUGUAUGUGGUUAUUCCAACUCGCCGUGCAACUGCUGUGGCUUUACAGAGCUUCACAUCACAUCUUCUUGGAGAUGCUGGGAGCCCAUACCUUAUUGGUUUUAUCUCGGACCUCAUCCAGGAGAGUACCAAUAAGUCUCCACUGUGGGAAUUCCUGAGCCUAGGUUAUGCACUAAUGCUCUGCCCGUUUGUGGUUGUUUUGGGCGGAAUGUUUUUCCUGGCUACAGCACUUUACUUUUUGGAAGAUCGUGCCAAAGCUGAACAACAAGAGCCGGGUUCAGAUCCUUUCACUGUUGGCAGCUGUAGUGACUCAGAAGAAGCUUCCAUCUUGUAGCUUUUAGGGUGAGUCAACUCAUGAUGCCACCAGCCUCUGUGAAAGUCUGAUAAGGUCAUUGCCAAGAGUUGAAGAUAAUAGCUCAUGGGCAUAAUUUUGUCUCAUUUCAAAAAAAAAAAAAAACGAAGGCUACGGAUCACACCAACAACUCCACCUUAUAAUCCUGGAAACACGGAAAUUUCCCAAAGGACAAGAGAGUGCACUGAAAGUGGACAUUUUUUUUUAUAAUUUAUGAAGGAGAUUGUGCAAGUAACUCCAAAUAUGUGAAGUGACUGCCUCAAGUGGGCAGAAAAUAUAGGCUCCGCAAGGUGAUGGCAUCAUCAUGUGGGGACACGAUACAGUACACCCCCAUGGGAUCAGAUGAACACAUCACAUUUACCUUGACAAGAAAGUUCCUGACAAGCAAGGUUUGAAGUGUAAUAGUAGUAAUUGAAGGAUUUUUUUUUCCACAAAGGAAAAAAAAAUUAUAUGUAAAUUAGUGUAAAUACAUUUUCUAAAUUGUACAGUAUAUAAGUAUAUAAAGAUAUAUAAAUGUAUAUAUUUUACAUAUAUUCUUUAUUUAAACUUUAAGUGCCAUACAGGCCAGUUUCUAUAGAUAAUGGAUAUUUAUUCUUUAAAAUUUCUUUUUCCUUAGCUUUAAUAUGGAAGCAGUGAAUGCUCCUCUAUGAAAGUGCAGAUCCAUAAGAUGAACUAGCGGUGACAUUUGAGAAAAUUGAGUGGAUUUUGUGGUUUGCACUUAAGGUGAUCAGUAUUAGAAUCUAUGUGUCAGAGCUUACUUAGUAAUAUGGGCCUACAAGUAUCUUCUGCACCAAUCUGACUGGUGUGUCUCAAUCCAAUAUCAAGAAAUCUGACUGUAUAGGGUUGUACAUGAAUAACGGAGUAUUCAAAACCUACAGUGUUACAACACAUUGGUGCUUUUGGGAACACUUUUUUAAGUAAGCUGCUCAGUAAAGUAUUGCUUAUUUAUUAUUGAAGUUUAUUGAGGUAUAUUGAUAAAAAAAAAAUAUUGUGUAUUAUCAUGCAAGCAAAUUAGGGCUCUUAAAGAAUUAUCCAGCUUUCUCCCUGUCGGGAAAAAAAACAGGGUUACUUGCCCUCAGCUUGAAGACUGAAUACACUUUGUAAUAAACUCUCCAUAUUUAUUUGGCCCUUGAGCUCACUUUGUAUGACUGUCUGUUCCGUACCUGCACACAUUUAUUCAGUGUUUAUAAGGAUAAAUUGUGUUCAUACAUGUUUAAUAUGGCGGGCUCCAACCUUUGGUUUGCUAUUGUCAAGAACUCCCAGCUGGUAGCUGUUAGGUGCCAGGACAUGCUGGAAGUUAUUUAGUGAAAUCUGGCGAUCCACAGGUUACAGAUAUUCACAAACGCACAAAUCCAUAGAAAGUGAACACCAAGAUUGCAGCUCAAAGACUAAACAAACAUGGAUUAUUCCCAAUAUACAGGGUGAGCUAUUUAUAUGGAUACACCUUAAUAAAAUGGGAAUGGUUGGUGAUAUUAACUUCCUGU